rnacentral:sRNA from 1 species
UGCAUCUCAGUUUUAUGCUUGUAUAAUGGAAAGUCUGAUGUGAAUGAUCAAUCUGAAAGGCUCACUGAUGUUUUGUCUGAUGAAAUGUUAACUCAGAGUUGAUGUUUUUGUGAGGUGGACUGAGCAGAUAUUCUAUCUUUCUGCUUUAUGUCUCUGUUGAUAAAUUGAAUCUGAUGAUAAUACUGUGUAGCUGUGAUGGGUUAGCAUCUGUUAGUAGUUAACUUACACACUCAACUCCCCUCCUGCACCCACUCAUCUCUGUCCGCCUCACACUCCACGCUCCGUGCUUGUGUAGUCUCUAACAAUUCUUCCACAUAACCCUUGAUGCUCUUCCACCUCACACUUCACACUCAUAUAGUUCUAACAAUUCUUCCACAUAACUCUUAAUGUUCUUCCACUGUAACGGGCAAACUUUGAUUAACAAUCUAGCACUAUUCUUGUAAC